GCUCGAGUGGCGAACGGGUGAGUAACACGUGAGUAACCUGCCCUUGACUUUGGGAUAACUUCAGGAAACUGGGGCUAAUACCGGAUAGGAGCUCCUGCUGCAUGGUGGGGAUUGGAAAGUUUCGGCGGUUGGGGAUGGACUCGCGGCUUAUCAGCUUGUUGGUGGGGUAGUGGCUUACCAAGGCUUUGACGGGUAGCCGGCCUGAGAGGGUGACCGGCCACAUUGGGACUGAGAUACGGCCCAG
rnacentral:rRNA from 1 species